GCGUACGGUGGAUGCCUUGGCA
rnacentral:rRNA from 1 species